rnacentral:rRNA from 1 species
AGUGAGCGCUGGCGGUAGGCCUAACACAUGCAAGUCGAACGGCAGCACAGUAAGAGCUUGCUCUUACGGGUGGCGAGUGGCGGACGGGUGAGGAAUACAUCGGAAUCUACUUUUUCGUGGGGGAUAACGUAGGGAAACUUACGCUAAUACCGCAUACGACCUACGGGUGAAAGCAGGGGAUCUUCGGACCUUGCGCGAUUGAAUGAGCCGAUGUCGGAUUAGCUAGUUGGCGGGGUAAAGGCCCACCAAGGCGACGAUCCGUAGCUGGUCUGAGAGGAUGAUCAGCCACACUGGAACUGAGACACGGUCCAGACUCCUACGGGAGGCAGCAGUGGGGAAUAUUGGACAAUGGGCGCAAGCCUGAUCCAGCCAUACCGCGUGGGUGAAGAAAGCCUUCGGGUUGUAAAGCCCUUUUGUUGGGAAAGAAAAGCAGCAGGUUAAUACCCCGCUGUUCUGACGGUACCCAAAGAAUAAGCACCGGCUAACUUCGUG